GGGGCUAUAGCGCAGCUGGUAGCGCGCUUGCAUGGCAUGCAAGAGGUCACGAGUUCGACUCUCGUUAGCUCCACCA
rnacentral:tRNA from 4 species